CCUACGGGCGGCAGCAGUGAGGAAUAUUGGUCAAUGGACGAGAGUCUGAACCAGCCAAGUAGCGUGAAGGAUGACUGCCCUAUGGGUUGUAAACUUCUUUUAUAUGGGAAUAAAAUGUUCCACGUGUGGGAUUUUGUAUGUACCAUAUGAAUAAGGAUCGGCUAACUCCGUGCCAGCAGCCGCGGUAAUACGGAGGAUCCGAGCGUUAUCCGGAUGUAUUGGGUUUAAAGGGAGCGUAGGUGGAUUGUUAAGUCAGUUGUGAAAGUUUGCGGCUCAACCGUAAAAUUGCAGUUGAAACUGGCAGUCUUGAGUACAGUAGAGGUGGGUGGAAUGCGUGGUGUAGCGGUGAUAUGCUUAGAUAUCACGAAGAACUCCGAUUGCGAAGGCAGCUCACUGGACUGCAACUGACACUGAGGCUCGAAAGUGUGGGUAUCAAACAGGACUAGACACCCGAGUAGUC
rnacentral:rRNA from 1 species